UUCCACCUGAGCUCUUGGUAAUUUGCUUGCUGUAAUACAGCUGGCUCCAAACCUCUCUCCACUGGCUGGUAACCAAGAGCUGCUGGCUGAGAUCUCCUCAGGUCAUUCUAGGAACAGGAAAGAGGAAGGACAAAUGGAGAAGUGGAAAAGUGCUAUGGAGCAAGAUCUCAGUCCAGAGAAAUAAGUGAACUCCUUUAUGACCCACCAGAGACCCUCAGCUGAUUCGUGGUUCCGAACUUUGCUUUUCUUCUUCAAGCAACUUACUCAAACCUGUUCAGAAGGGAUCUCCCUGCUCUCUACAGCAACCGGAAAAAGCAAAGAAGAUUUUACACAUUACAACGAAAGACUUUCACCACUUCUCAAGCUUGAACAUGCAGAAAACACAGAAGAGACUGAAGCCAGAGGGAUGACUUGAUCCAAAGGGCUAUGAGCUUCAUGGAGUUUGCCUGGCUGUGGAGUAAGGUUUGGAUCGAUUGAACAAUGGGAGAAUCAGUCUGUCUAUCCACUGGACUGAGGUGUCUAAAGUACAUGAAGCUUAGGGUGGGGACAAAGGUGCUUUCUUGACACUAUAUAUCCAACUUUGGAAUAUAGCAUUGAGAUUAAUCCUUGGCACUCAAAAAUGAGAUUAAUCCUUAGCACUCAAAAAAUGGAGGCAAAAUUCAACUAGAAGUGCAUGCGUGGCUGAAAUGAUGACUGUGGGGCCUACAGUGCAAAUACACUUGUCUACACACAAAAACUCUGUUGUGUUAUUUGCAGCCCCUGCCCUUUUUUUUCCCUUUUGUCUCCUUGUUUCUCAAUCUUUAUAAAGUUUUUGCUCAAAAAA